AGGACGAAAUUAAUUUUUGGCGUUAUAAAGGGUCGAGAAACAUAACUAGUGCCCUACAAGUGACUGCAAAAACCCUCAAUUGUAGAAUUUAGGGAAGAUGUAACCACCGAACAAGAACACAAACACAAAAACAAAAACCACUAGUUACUCAUCAACCAAACUACUCUUCUCUCUUUCAAUCCAAAUUCUACAAAGACACUUACGGAACCAUUGUUUCCGAACUCAGAUCUUUGUUUUCCUCGGAGUAAUUUCAAUGUGAGGAAUAUCAUUUUGUGAAUCAGAUUCUUCGAAUUGAGAUCUUGACCCAAAAUUGUAAUCUACGUCGUCCCUCUCAGUGCCGAUCGAUAAUAUUAAGGAGCUGCUGUGAGUGCUGACUUCGUUUGGCUCGUUCUCCUUCGUUAGAGAAGCUUUUUAGAAAAGUGAAGCCAUAAUUUGAUGUUGGAGGUGUUGUCAAAGCCCACUUGCUUAGAGAACUGGUACAUCUCUUUGCAUACUCUUUUUGUUUAGUUAAGAACUGAGUUGAAGACUACUUAUUAUCGAUUAUGAUAUAAGAGAAUUACUCCAUGCUCAACCAGUAAUUUAGUGGCUUUAAAUUUUUUUUGUUCACGAGUUGAUAUGUAUUUAGAUAGUAAUUGAAAAUUCCUUUGUAAGUACCAAAACAUGAAAUAAUGGGUCUUACUAGCAUUUUGCAAUAUGACACACCUUUGUGUAAUCAAAGAGAUCUUUCAUGUUUGUAAGAGAAAAUUCGGGAGAGUUCAUUUUUUUUUUUUUUUUUAUUUGAUUUCAACUGAAUUCUUAAUCGGGUCUUAUUUGUAGAAUUAAUUUUGCAAACUAAUUCCAUUUUUCGGGGUGUAUUGGGGAUUGUGAUUACUUAAGAGGGUUUGAAGAAGUUUUUUCUCCACUUGCUGCUUUUGUGCUAAUUUGGUGCCUACUUGAUCUCCCUGCUGCUCUUGUCUUGCUAACAUGGCAGCCGCGUUGGCAGCCUCAUGGCAGGUGACUUGGCAACAGGUUGGGUGUUGCAGUUACGUAUGUUGCUGCUGCAUGCGUUGAGGUGUUGUUGCAAACUUGCUACUCCCUUCUUUUGCUGACUGAGCUGCUGGCCUCCUGCCUGAGCUAUCAUCAUGGCUGUGUUUGUGUCAUAUCUUGUGUGUGUGUGUUCGUGGUUGUGAUUGUAUCCUAUCUUGUGUGUGUUCGUGGUUGUGACAGACUUGAAUCAAUAAAAGAAACACAAUUUAUGUAUUAAUAACUUACCUGUAGGACUCUAGGACUCGAGUUUAAUGAAUUUAAGCUUACAUUAUUUUCCAAGGAGGUCAGCAAUUACUGUAUACUGGAAACGAAAUUCACGAGCUUGUCUGGAGAUAUAUCUAUUUAUUUAAGAACUUUUUCAUACUUAUUUAUAGGUAAAAGAGCCAUUUUAUGUGCUAGGUUUUUGUAUACAUCCUUAAACCUUUUUUUUGGUAAACUUUUGUCCCUUCAGAAACUUGAUGCAACUGUCGGUGAUAUAACUAUUAUCAAAAAUAGAACAAGGAUAGUGACUUCACACUGCUAUAAUUGUAAUCAGGAUUAGUUAUAGUUGCUCUUGUAAAAAAGGUAAGGUAUGAUUUUGAGUUUUUCAUGUCUAACUGUUUUAGUUAGACUUUGUUAUAAUUUGUGUUUCUCGGCGUGUAUUUAAUUAAUCUUAGUUUUAGUUCUACAUCCUCCCUUCUUAGUUGUUUUUUCAAGAUUUUAUUGUUGGUGAGCUGCUAGUACUAACCUUCAUCCAUGUUUUUUUUUGGUGGGCUAUUGGCUUGAGUAAGGAUAUUGCAAUAUGAAACAAUAUUAUUUCACUAAUGUUGUGACCUGCAUAUCAAAGCAGAUGUUGAAAGAAAAGAAGUCAUACAAUCAAUAGUUACUCCUUGCUGGUUCAUGAGAAUAGCAUGAGUCUGAUCUAUGCACUUGUGCAUGUCGUGGACCCUUUGGCAGAAGUUUCAAGGAUAGAAGAGCAAAUAAAGUAAGAUGAAAGAGCUUGCCUCAAAAGAAUAGGGUAGAGCUAGAUGAAAUUUGUCAGAAGAUACAUGAUUCCUGCAGUAGAUGAUGGAAUAGAACUUCUUAUUGAAGUAAUAUAAAUAGGUCUGAGCAUUUCGUCACAAUCUGAACUUUGUUUUACUCCCCCCUACAAGCAGCUUAAGAAACCAUAAUUAUGGCUUUCGACUAGACGUGUAACGAGAAUAGCCAAGAAGAAAAAAGGAUCAAAAGAUUAUAUACUGAGAAACGGUAGAAAAGGGCUGACAACUAAAACUGCAAUAUUUCAAGGAUGGAAGAAAGAUAUAUUUUAGCUAUUUAAAGAUUGAAAUCAGUGAUUCGGAAUUUGUUCCACUACAACUAGUCACGAGUUAAGUAUAAGUUGCAAUUAUAUUUACUGUAAUAGAAAACUCAUUACUAUGAGAUAUUGUACAUAUGCUAUAAUAUAUUUAUAUGAAAUAAAAAAUAUUUGGCAUAAUUUUGUUGUACAUGUAU